ACCGCGGUAACCCUGUUGGUAAUGGCGUCUGCAGUACAGAUGCCGAAGGUUGCAGGAUCAAAUCCUGCCUGCAGUA